rnacentral:rRNA from 1 species
UACGGAGGGAGCUAGCGUUGUUCGGAAUUACUGGGCGUAAAGCGCGCGUAGGCGGCUUUGUAAGUUAGAGGUGAAAGCCCGGAGCUCAACUCCGGAACUGCCUUUAAGACUGCAUCGCUUGAAUCCAGGAGAGGUGAGUGGAAUCCGAGUGUAGAGGUGAAAUUCGUAGAUAUUCGGAAGAACACCAGUGGCGAAGGCGGCUCACUGGACUGGUAUUGACGCUGAGGUGCGAAAGCGUGGGGAGCAAACAGG